rnacentral:lncRNA from 10 species
AGCACACGUGGAGUUCUGGGUGGGGCGCUGGGCAGAGGGACUCGGCUUCUAGGGCUCUGAGCCAGGCCGAGGGACAGACUGCUGGGAAGUCCCCAAAAGGGCAGCAGCACUGAGGGGCAGGAUUCCAGGGUCCUGGAGGCGGAAGCUCGGCCGACUGACUCCCAGUUCGAGAGAACGGGGCGGGGGCAGCCCACCAGUGCUGGAACCCGAGGGGCCGGGCGAGGAACGCUGGACUGGGAGCAGGACCCUUCUCGCCUCGGACAAGACUCCUUGUCUGGGGACCCAGCCCGACUUCAUUGUAGCUGGGUCCUCGAGAAAGCGAAAGGAGCCCUCCUUCCCCAUUGGCCUCUCCAUCGCUGCAUCCCAAGAAGAAAGACAACUCGGGCUCCACUUGCUUGCUUUUUAAUAACAGAGCAGAGAGAAUACAAGGCCAGGAGCGGGGCCUGGAGGAAAACAGGACUUGGGGUGCUCCUGUGAGAGCGGUGGGUUGAGAUGGGAGCCCACGGGGGCUGUUAAUGCCUAGUUCAGAGGAUGGGAAAGGCAGUUGGAGAGACGAAGGAAGGGGAAACGCCUUCAUGUCAGCAAUGAGGGUGACUCUAGUGACGGAACUAGUCUUGGGUCCCUGGGGCACCACUAGCCUCUCGGCAUCGGUGGUUUCUCCUUACUCUUCAGACGCUGCCAACUCCAUCCCCCAGGGAUUGUGAAGGGGGUUCCUUCUGGCUGUGACAGUGCUGAACGAGGCCAGAGAGUGCAGCUGCCUGGAGGCACAAGCCUCCUCCUGAUCCAGGGGGCUCCAGGGAGACCAAAGCAGCUGUCAAGAUGAGAGAAAUUGAAAAAGAAAAUGGAAAAGUAGGUCUUCUUUCCAGAUUUCCUAGUACCCAAGCUUAGGUACCUCGAAGUCUCUGGUUCUCACCUACGUUAUUUUUGUUUCUCUCAAAUCCAGCUCUCCAGCCUGGCUCUCAGCUUCUGCAUCUCCAUGCAAGACCAGAGACCCACAUCACUCCCUCACUCCACCCAGUUCCACUCCAACAAUACCUGGGCCCUGCCAGGAGUGAGAAAACGGUCCUCUUCCUGUGGAUAGGUUGCUCUCUCCUCUUCCAGAUCAGGGUAUUCAUUGGUGCUGGGGAAUCCACAGCCCUCUUCGCCAAGCACCACUGGCUCAGAUGCAGCCCCAGAGCUGCCCCACUGGGCCUUCUUCAGUCUGUGGAGACUUUAGGCUGAGGAGAGAAGUGCCUGGAGGCCAGGCUUCCUGUCUCUCCAUUCUUCACCUUUCUGUUCUGAAAUACUUCCUGCUGGGACUCCAGGGAGUUGUCAUUUGACCUUUAACCCUCCACUCCCAAUUUUCUGCUCCCCUCAGACUGAAGCAUAUUGUCUAGGAACCCAGAGGUGACCCCAACCUCCCCACUGUCCUCCAGUUCUAUGGUUUGCUUUCCUGUCUUCAGUGAUCUAGUUUCCACUCCUUCCAGCUCAUGUGGCUCAUCCUCCUUACUGCAGUUCCCUCCUUCUUUCCAUAUUACAGAAAUCUGUUUCAAUCACACCAAAGCCCACAGCUUCCUUCCAAGCAACCUCCCCUCAAAGCUCCCCUCAAACCUCCCCUCAAAGCUGUCAACCCCUUCCUUAGCUCAAACUGUUCUGCCCCCAAAUCCUGCAUGACUCCCAGAACCCAGAUGUCUCCCUUCCUUACUCGUUGAUGAUGCUCUGACGCCUUCUUAGGUCCUCCAGGUGGUAAGUGACAGCCCUCACCCGGGCGGGGACUCCCCCAAGGCCCUGCUGCUGCAUUCCUUCCAAACAUGGCCUCCUCUUCUUUCUUCUCCAAAGCAUUUCAGGGGGUGGGAGCUGCUCAGGAGGAUACAGACCAAGCUGGGAGCAACCAGUGGCUCUCUGUGCCAGAGAAUGGGGAAAAAGAGCUAGAAAGAAGAACUGGCUCUCUCAAGGGAGCUUGGAUUGAACUAGGUAGGGAGUCUGGGGUCUUGGGAAGACCCCUGUGAUCUCGAAAACAUGAUGACUGAUUCAUAGAAAGGAAGGCCUGGUCAGUGCACUGGUUGGGGAAUAACAGAGGGAAGCGGUAAUAAGGAGAGCUUGGGACAGGACAGCAGUGGGUGCAAUUUUAACAGAGAAAUGUUAAACGGCAGAGGGUCUGUCUUACCAGCAUGGGUGGAAUGUGCUGCUCCUCCAGCCAAGUGGGGCUGUGAAGAACAAAAAGGGGGCUAUAAGUGCAGAGGGGACAUGUCCAUCCAUAUUGCUUCUUUAAUAAUCUCUCCCGACCUCCUUUCUGUCAUUAGGAGCUACAAUGUCCACCAGCCAGUGGGAAAUUAACCGCAGACUAGGGCCUAUUGCUAUAUGGGUUUAUGGUAGUUUAAUCCAGUUAAGACCACAUCCAGUUAGUUUCCAUUUUCUCCUCUACUCACGUGGGCCUUUGAUUAAGGUUCUUCCAGAAGACAUCUCCAUAACGCUGGGGCAUGGGUCUGAGGCUCUGGGAAGGCAACCUUGGGGGUGGAGAUCGGCUGACCACCCUGGAACACCUGAGGUGAGGACAAGGUAGGCUCGGGUCUGGCUCUUCCCUUACAGCAGUCUACUCAUCCCAAGGAUUCAGGGGCCAUCUUUCCAUGGGACUAUAAAGCUGCCCAGGUUCCCUCGGGCCAUGUCCUCUCUUAACCACUUUAGCUGAAGAAGGUGGUAAGGCCUCUGCUUUGAAAGGAAAUUGAAGCUGGGUUGAGGGUGGAGAUUGGCUAUAGUUUGACCCUCAGAUCUCACUGAGUUUAAGCUCUAUAUCGGGGAUGUCCAAUCUUUUGGCUUCCUGGGCCACAUUGGAAGAAGAAAAAUUGUCUUGGGCCACACAUAAAGUACACUAACACUGGCCGGGCGUGGUGGCUCAUGCCUGUAAUCCCAGCACUUUGGGAGGCUGAUGUGGGUGGAUCACCUGAGGUCUGGAGUCCAAGACCAGCCUGGCC